GCAACUUGGUUAUCAUUUAGUUGAUUUAAUUACAUAUUGUUACAAUAUCUUCUCUAUAUUACUAAUUAAUUAACUUGAUUGCUAUACUUACCUAACGCAGUAUAGUACUACCAUGCUCAUCAUAAUAUAAUUAAUUGUUCUCUUUCACUAUUUGUGUGCCUAUAUAUAUAAGAACCUUAAUUAGUUUCCUCGAACAAGCCUCUAUUUAUAUAUAUAUAGCAAUACUAAUAUUAUAUAUAACUUUCUUUCAGUUGUAACAUAUCUUCAAUUUAAUGGCCUUAAAUAAUAUUCAGCUACUUUUCUUUGCAUUUCUUCUUCUUAUUACAGUUUAUACUCCUGCACAAGCAAGAAUCCUCUUAUUACCAGGAAGAAGCAAUAUAAAUCAAAGGAAGAAGGUUAAAAUUCUUCUACAACUACUACCACAACCAUCGCCACCAAUACUAUUUCCAACUUUACCAAAAGAGGUUGGUAUUAAUAUUGAAAGACCACCGACGCCAUUGCCACCGCCACCACAUUCGAAACCACCAUUUUCAAGUCUAUUUAAGGAAAAGGAAGAUGGAGUUAUCCAAAUCUACAGGCAUAAGCCAAGGCCAAGUGGUUAUGAAAGUACUAAUCAUGAUUAAUUAGAUGACGUGGACCAACCACAUCAUGGUGUUAUGUGAGUGAAAAAUUUGUAUUGGUUGUUGUUUGUGCUUUCUACUUAUACAUAGGGUGUUCAUCAAAUUUUGCUAAGAAAUACUUAGCAGACUAAUGGUAUAAGUAGUUGUUUAAAUCCCAUGUGGUCCUAUUUAGCUCUGUAAUUUUGUUUUGCCUUUUGUUAUUUAUUGGUCCAAACUUUUGUAAUGGAGUGACAUGUGUCCUCCUCCUUCUAUCCUUGUAUUUAAUUUGCAUCUUAUAAAUGGUUAAUGAACCCCUCAAGUACC